rnacentral:rRNA from 1 species
AGUGAACGCUGGCGGUAGGCCUAACACAUGCAAGUCGAACGGCAGCACAGGAGAGCUUGCUCUCUGGGUGGCGAGUGGCGGACGGGUGAGGAAUACAUCGGAAUCUACUCUGUCGUGGGGGAUAACGUAGGGAAACUUACGCUAAUACCGCAUACGACCUACGGGUGAAAGCAGGGGAGCGUCGGACCUCGCGCGAUUGAAGGAGCCGAUGUCGGAUUAGCUAGUUGGCGGGGUAAAGGCCCACCAAGGCGACGAUCCGUAGCUGGUCUGAGAGGAUGAUCAGCCACACUGGAACUGAGACACGGUCCAGACUCCUACGGGAGGCAGCAGUGGGGAAUAUUGGACAAUGGGCGCAAGCCUGAUCCAGCCAUACCGCGUGGGUGAAGAAGGCCUUCGGGUUGUAAAGCCCUUUUGUUGGGAAAGAAAUCCAGCUGGCUAAUACCCGGUUGGGAUGACGGUACCCAAAGAAUAAGCACCGGCUAACUUCGUGCCAGCAGCCGCAGUAA